rnacentral:rRNA from 1 species
UCGGGAGGAACACCAUUGGCGAAGNCGGCCUCCUGGGAUGCUCCUGACACUGAAGGCGAAAGCUAGGGGAGCACACGGGAUUAGAAACCCCGGUAGUCCUAGCCGUAAACGAUGGAUGCUAGGAAUGGGGGAUGUAGAUUCCCUCCGUGCCACAGUAAACGCGUUAAGCAUCCCGCCUGGGGAGUACGACCGCAAGGCUAAAACUCAAACGAAUUGAAGGGGGCCCGCACAAGCAGCGGAGCGUGUGGAUUUAAUUCGACUGCUACACGAAGAACCUAACCUGGGCUUGACAUACAGGUAGUAGUGAAGUGUAAGCGGAUCGACCCUUCGGGGAGCCUGUACAGGUGCUGCAUGGCUGUCGUCAGAUCGUGCCGUGAGUUGUCGGGUUAAGUCCAGUAACGAGCGCAACCAUUGCUCUUAGUUAUACGUGUCUAAGAGGACUGCCGGCGGUAAGCCGGAGGAAGGUGGGGAUGACGUCAAGUCAGCAUGGCCUUUAUGUCCAGGGCUACACACACGCUACAAUGGCCGGUACAAUGGGUAGCUAAACCGCGAGGUGGAGCCAAUCCUGUAAAGCCGGUCUCAAUUCGAAUUGCGGGCCGCAAAUCGCAAGCAAGAAGUCGGAGAUGCUAGUAAUCGCAGGUCAGCAAUCUCGCGCUGAUACGUUCCCGGGCAUUGUACACACCGCCCGUCACGUCAUGGAAGCUGGCAACACCUGAAGCCGGUGAGCCA